AUUGAACGCUGGCGGCAAGCCUAACACAUGCAAGUCGAACGAGUGGCGGACGGGUGAGUAAUGUCUGGGAAACUGCCUGAUGGAGGGGGAUAACUACUGGAAACGGUAGCUAAUACCGCAUACCAUCGGAUGUGCCCAGAUGGGAUUAGCUAGUUGGUGGGGUAACGGCUCACCAAGGCGACGAUCCCUAGCUGGUCUGAGAGGAUGACCAGCCACACUGGAACUGAGACACGGUCCAGACUCCUACGGGAGGCAGCAGUGGGGAAUUUUGGACAAUGGGCGCAAGCCUGAUGCAGCCAUGCCGCGUGUAUGAUGAAGGCCUUCGGGUUGUAAAGUACUUUCAGCGGGGAGGCGUUACCCGCAGAAGAAGCACCGGCUAACUCCGUGCCAGCAGCCGCGGUAAUUC
rnacentral:rRNA from 1 species